rnacentral:piRNA from 1 species
UGACAAAACAGUUGGAUGGGCUUAGG